GACGUAGGGUGCAAGCGUUGUCCGGAUUUACUGGGCGUAAAGGGCGCGUAGGCGGUCUGUUAAGUGUGAAGUGAAAUCUCCAUCGCUCAACGAGGAAAUUGCUUCGCAUACUGGCAGACUGGAGGGAUGCAGAGGUGAAUAGAAUUCCUGGUGUACCGGUGACAUGGAUUGAUAUCAGGAGGAAUACCCAAGGCGAAGGCAGUUCACUGGGCAUCAUCUGACGCUGAGGCGCGAAAGCGUGGGGAGCAAACAGG
rnacentral:rRNA from 2 species